GGAGCUUGCUUUAUAUAACUUAGCAGCGAACGGGUGAGUAACACGUAGAUAAUCUAUCCUAUACUGGGGGAUAGCCCGAUGAAAGUUGGAUUAAUACCGCAUAUAGCUAUAUAGUUGCAUGAUUAUGUAGUGAAAGAUUUAUUGGUAUAGGAGGAGUCUGCGGCACAUUAGCUAGUAGGUGAGGUAAAGGCUUACCUAGGCGACGAUGUGUAGCCGGUCUGAGAGGAUGAACGGCCACAAUGGAACUGAGACACGGUCCAUACUCCUACGGGAGGCAGCAGUGGGGAAUAUUGCACAAUGGGGGAAACCCUGAUGCAGCAACGCCGCGUGAGUGAAGAAGGUUUUCGGAUUGUAAAGCUCUGUUAGCAGGGAAGAGGAAGGACGGUACCUGCAGAGGAAGCCACGGCUAACUACGUGCCAGCAGCCGCGGUAAUACGUAGGUGGCAAGCGUUGUUCGGAAUAACUGGGCGUAAAGGAUGCGUAGGCGGUUAAACAAGUUAUAUGUUAAAUAUAUAGGCUUAACCUGUAGAAAGCAUAUAAAACUGUUUAACUAGAGUGCAGGAGAGGUAAGUGGAAUUCCUAGUGUAGCGGUGAAAUGCGUAGAGAUUAGGAAGAACACCAGUGGCGAAGGCGACUUACUGGACUGUAACUGACGCUGAGGCAUGAGAGCAUGGGGAGCAAACAGGAUUAGAUACCCUGGUAGUCCAUGCUGUAAACGAUGGGUACUAGGUGUGGGUUGU
rnacentral:rRNA from 1 species